rnacentral:rRNA from 1 species
UAUAGGUUUGGUCCCAGCCUUCCUGUUAACUUUCAAUAGACUUAUACAUGCAAGCAUCCACGCCCCGGUGAGUAACGCCCUUCGAAUCACACAGGACUAAAAGGAGCAGGUAUCAAGCACACACUCUUGUAGCUCACAACGCCUUGCUUAACCACACCCCCACGGGAGACAGCAGUAACAAAAAUUAAGCCAUAAACGAAAGUUUGACUAAGCCAUAUUGACUAGGGUUGGUAAAUCUCGUGCCAGCCACCGCGGUCAUACGAUUGACCCAAGCUAACAGGAGUACGGCGUAAAGCGUGUUAAAGCAUCAUACUAAAUAGAGUUAAAUUUUAAUUAAACUGUAAAAAGCCAUAAUUAUAACAAAAAUAAAUGACGAAAGUAACCCUACAAUAGCUGAUACACCAUAGCUAAGACCCAAACUGGGAUUAGAUACCCCACUAUGCGUAGCCCUAAACACAAAUAAUUAU